UACGAAGGGGGCUAGCGUUGCUCGGAAUCACUGGGCGUAAAGGGUGCGUAGGCGGGUCUUUAAGUCAGGGGUGAAAUCCUGGAGCUCAACUCCAGAACUGCCUUUGAUACUGAAGAUCUUGAGUUCGGGAGAGUGAGUGGAACUGCGAGUGUAGAGGUGAAAUUCGUAGAUAUUCGCAAGAACACCAGUGGCGAAGGCGGCUCACUGGCCCGGUACUGACGCUGAGGUGCGAAAGCGUGGGGAGCAAACAGG
rnacentral:rRNA from 1 species